rnacentral:rRNA from 1 species
GAUCCUGGCUCAGGAUGAACGCUGGCGGCGUGCUUAACACGAUGCAAGUCGAACGGAGUUAUUAACGGAAGUUUCGGAUGGAAGUUAAGAACUUAGUGGCGGACGGGUGAGUAACGCGUGGGUAACCUGCCUCAGUACAGGGGGAUAACAGUUAGAAAUGACUGCUAACACCGCAUAAUAUAGCGAAACCGCAUGAUUUUGCUAUCAAAUAUUUAUAGGUAUGAGAUGGGCCCGCGUCUGAUUAGCUAGUUGGUGGGGUAAAAGCCUACCAAGGCGACGAUCAGUAGCCGGCUUGAGAGAGUGACCGGCCACAUUGGGACUGAGACACGGCCCAAACUCCUACGGGAGGCAGCAGUGGGGAAUAUUGGACAAUGGGGGAAACCCUGAUCCAGCGAACCGCCGCGUGAGUGAAGAAGUAUUUCGGUAUGUAAAGCUCUAUCAGCAGGGAAGAUAAUGACAGUACCUGACUAAGAAGCCCCGGCUAACUACGUGCCAGCAGCCGC